rnacentral:rRNA from 1 species
UACGGGGGGGGCAAGCGUUGUUCGGAAUUACUGGGCGUAAAGGGCUCGUAGGCGGCCAACUAGGUCGGACGUGAAAUCCCUCGGCUUAACCGGGGAACUGCGUCCGAUACUGGAUGGCUUGAGUUUGGGAGAGGGAUGCGGAAUUCCAGGUGUAGCGGUGAAAUGCGUAGAUAUCGUUUGGAACGCCAACGGUGAAAACAGACAGCUGGGAGUGUGCUGACGCUGAGACAGAAAGCCAGGGGAGCGAACGGG